CCUCUGGAGUGUUAUAUCAAACGAAAGUAGUCGCAGUUUGGCAAAAUCGGACACGUUGAACGAGGAA
rnacentral:sRNA from 12 species